rnacentral:rRNA from 1 species
UACGGGGGGGGUAAGCGUUGUUCGGAAUUACUGGGCGUAAAGGGCUCGUAGGCGGCCAACUAAGUCAUACAUGAAAUCCCUCAGCUUAACUGGGGAACUGCGUGUGAUACUGGAUGGCUUGGAUUUGGGAGAGGGAUGCGGAAUUCCAGGUGUAGCGGUGAAAUGCGUAGAUAUCUGGAGGAACACCGGUGGCGAAGGCGGCAUCCUGGACCAAUAUUGACGCUGAGGAGCGAAAGCUAGGGGAGCAAACGGG